ACCAUUUGUUCCCCCUUCUGUUUAAGGAAAAAAUCGAGCGCCUCUUGGACCCAGAACCAGACCUGGAACCAGAUAUGUAUAAAAGCCGUAUCCUUCUGCCCUUGGGGGUUUGCGCCCGGGUCCUUGCUGGGUACUGACUGCCUGCUUAUAAGCUUGCUUGUCUCUGCACUUGGCCUCCCACAGAUCUCAUGUUUUCAGAGAUGUGGCUUUUGGAUGGUGACUGGAUCACAAGAGUGCUAUAUUCAUCAGAGGAUUAAUACAGCCAUGAUUUUGUAGCACUACGCGCUGUUAGCAGGUGGGGUGUGGAUGACGGAGUCUUUGUAUAGAACUGACUAAAGGUGCUGGACUGCGCUGGCAAAAGAAAAUUUUACAGCAUAUUGUGGCACGGAUACUGCUGGCUGUGUUUAUUCAACUAUAUGCUGAAAACCACAGGUUGACCUGGAACUUACUUAGUAGGCCAAACUAACCUUGAACUCACGGCAAUCCUCUUGCCUCAGCCUUCUGAUUGCUGGAAUUAAAGGAAUGCACCACCAUGCCUAGCAAAACCAACAUCUUGAUACUCCCUAAAACCUUCC